UCAGUCGGCCCCGCUGGGCUUGGGGGCGGCGGGCGGCAGCCGGUGGGCUGUGGGUGGCGUUUCCACCGGUCCGCGGCUAUUGGGCGGCCCCGCUACCCUGAGAAAGCCCGUUCGCCGAAGUGGAGCGAGGCUUUUCACCGCCGCCGCCGCCCUCUCUGCCCUCCGAGCUCUCCCAGGAUACCUCAGAUUUCCCUGGAGUCGGGAGCUCGAGGGGCGCGCUCGGCCCUCCUUUUGCUGCUGCUCCUAUUCAGCUUGCGCCGCGAGCGGCCGCCGGCCGGGCCAGCACCUCGCGUGUGGGACCGCCUCCCUUAGCCCCAAUGCCCGUGCGAGAAGAGUUGAGUGGGUGCCCGUGGUUGGAGCUGUGCAGGUGUCCCCCGGUGGCAAGUGUGGCCACAGCACCGAGCGCUGUUAAGUUUUAUGCGCGCACGUUGCAAGGACUGUGUGUGAGUCUGAGUGGAUAUUUCGUCAUUGAUCUUCAGGUUCAUUACUUCUGUCAUCUGUCAUCUCAAGUCUGCUGUUGAGCCCCUCUAGUAUAAUUUGACAUCCUGAGAGUUUGUCUUAGCAAGAAGGAAGUGGAAAAUACUCUUGAAAAGAAAACUAAGACAAUAAGGAAGCCAGAACUGACUUUUACAUGGUGAUCUGCUCACUUACCAGUAUGGACACUUUUCCCACCAUAUUUCCUCCUGGUGGAGACAGUGGACUGACAAAUUCUCAAUCUGAGUUCCAAAAAAUGUUAACUGAUGAAAGGUUACGAUGUGAACAUCAUAAAACUAACUAUCAGACUCUUAAAGUUGAACACACAAGGUUGCAAGAUGAGUACAUAAAGUCACAAAAUGAACUUAAGCGCCUAUUAAAUGAAAAGCAAACUCACCAAGAAAAAUUUCAGCUGCUGCUUGAAGAGCUACGAGGGGAAUUAAUAGAGAAAACUAAAGACUUAGAAGAAAUGAAACUGCAGGUAUUAACUCCCCAAAAGUUGGAACUGUUACGAGCUCAAAUACAACAAGAAUUAGAAACUCCAAUGAGGGACCGUUUUAGGAAUCUGGAUGAAGAAGUGGAAAAGUAUAGAGCUGAAUAUAAUAAGCUCCGCUAUGAACAUACAUUUCUCAAAUCAGAAUUUGAACACCAGAAAGAAGAAUUUGCACGUAUCCUAGAAGAAGAAAAAAUAAAAUAUGAAUCAGAGAUUGCCACACUGGAGAAUGAUAAAGAAGAACUACGUAAUCAGCUGCUUGGUGUUGAUCCCACAAGAGACAGCAAACGAAUGGAGCAGCUUGUUCUAGAAAAAGUCAGUUUGUUUCAGAAAGUAAAAGGUUUAGAGGCUGAAGUAGCAGCAUUAAGGGCUGAAAAAGAAAAUUCUGGUGCUCAGGUAGAAAAUGUCCAAAGAAUUCAGGUGCGGCAGUUGGCUGAGAUGCAGGCUACAAUCAGAUCCCUGGAGGCUGAAAAACAGUCAGCUAAACUACAGGCUGAACGCUUGGAAAAAGAACUACAAUCAAUCAGUGAACAAAAUACUGUUUUAAUUAGUAAAUUGCAUAAAGCUGAACGAGAGAUAAAUACCUUGACCAGUAAAGUAAAAGAACUUAAACAUUCAAACAAACUAGAAAUAACAGACAUCAAACUGGAGGCAGCAAGAGCUAAGAGUGAGCUAGAAAGAGAAAGGAAUAAGAUUCAAAGUGAACUGGAUGGGUUACAGUCAGACAAUGAAGUUCUCAAGUCAGCUGUUGAACACCACAAAACACUCCUAGUAGAAAAGGAUCGUGAAUUAAUACGUAAAGUACAAGCUGCCAAGGAAGAAGGUUAUCAAAAACUUGUGAUAUUACAAGAUGAAAAGCUAGAACUUGAGAACAGAUUAGUGGAUUUAGAGAAAAUGAAAGUGGAACAUGAUGUCUGGAGACAAUCUGAAAAGGAUCAGUGUGAAGAGAAGUUGCGGGCUUCACAGAUGGCAGAAGAGUCGGCCAGAAGGGAACUUCAGAGUAUUAGAUUAAAACUUCAACAACAAAUUGUGAAUAUUGAAAAUGCAGAGAAAGAAAAACAUGAAAAUGCUGAGCUGAAACAGCAAAUCAGUAGUUUGCAGAAUCAGGUGACCUCACUUGGACAGUCAGAGAAUGAGUUGCUGAAUUCAAACCAAAUACUGAGGGAGACGGUGGAGAGGUUAAAACAGGAAUGCCGAAAUUUAAGAAGCCAAGCUGAAAAAGCACAACUAGAAGUUGAAAGGACUUUGGAAGAGAAACAGAUACAGUGGUUGGAAGAAAAGCAUAAAUUUCAGGAACGUAUCACUGACAGAGAAGAAAAGUAUAAUCAAGCUAAAGAAAAACUACAGCGAGCUGCAAUUGCCCAGAAAAAGAGAAAAUCUCUUCAUGAAAACAAAUUGAAGAGACUGCAGGAGAAAGUAGAAAUCUUAGAGGCAAAGAGAGAAGAAUUAGAAACAGAAAACCAGGUGUUGAAUAGACAAAAUGUUCCAUUUGAAGAAUAUACAAGGCUUCAAAAAAGACUAAAGGACAUACAGAGAAGACAUAAUGAAUUUCGAAGUUUAAUUUUGGUUCCUAACAUGCCUCCAACAGCAUCCAUCAAUCCUGUCAGUGUUCAGUCAUCAACCAUGGUUCCAGGCAUGGACCUGUCAUUUCCUCCUCAUAUGCAGGAGGAACAGCAUCAAAGGGAACUCUCUCUACUUCGCAAAAGACUAGAAGAACUAGAAACAACACAAAGGAAACAACUAGAGGAACUUGGAUCUCCUGGGGAAUGAUGUUUGAGGAAAAAAGGCAGAUCAAAAGGGAUGAAAUCAGUGCGACUCAUAAAGCUUGAAGUUUUAAUGAAGUCUGCUGGAAUAACUUCAUAUCAGCAAGGCGAAGCUCAAAUCCUCCAAACUAAGUGGAAUGUUCGUUACCCAGAAGUCUUCAGGAUCAAAGGUCCAGGUAGAUAGUGGAGGAGCAGUCCUUAAUAUCAUUUAAAAGAAACUGGAUUUACUUACUACAUUAUAGAACUGCUUAUUCAGAUAUGCAGUGGCACCUUGUUUCUGAAAAAUAAUUUCCUUGGGGCCACUUAGAAUAAAAAAGUCUAUUAUAACUAGAACAUUUGAAGGGGGAAAAAAAAAAGAAAC